AAGCCAAUUUAAGCAAAGAAACAGCCCGCUGCCGGGGAAGCGGCUCUUUCAGCCGUAGCCGACGGCAAAACCACGCAGGGAAUUUUCUGUGGAUCUGAAAAACAGAGCUAACCAAAUGUGCUCCAGGCUCCAUAAAAUCUUGGCAGGGAUGGAGCACGGAAAAUUCGAGUCCUGUAGCUUUGAGAGGCUUUUGGGAGCUCCCCUCAGUUGCAAGCCCAAGGGCAGCUGCCGAGAGCUCUGUGAUCUCUGUGUGAGGCACGGGGCGGGCAGCGGGACAGCCGGGAGCCCGGAUCAGUGCUUAGGGCUAA